rnacentral:rRNA from 1 species
AGAGUUUGAUCCUGGCUCAGAUUGAACGCUGGCGGCAUGCUUUACACAUGCAAGUCGAGCGGCAGCGCGGGGGCAACCCUGGCGGCGAGCGGCGGACGGGUGAGUAAUGCAUCGGAACGUAUCCCGUAGUGGGGGACAACCCAGCGAAAGCUGGGCUAAUACCGCAUAUGCUCUACGGAGGAAAGCAGGGGACCUGUGAGGGCCUUGUGCUAUGGGAGCGGCCGAUGUCCGAUUAGCUAGUUGGUGGGGUAAAGGCUUACCAAGGCGACGAUCGGUAGCUGGUCUGAGAGGAUGAUCAGCCACACUGGGACUGAGACACGGCCCAGACUCCUACGGGAGGCAGCAGUGGGGAAUUUUGGACAAUGGGGGCAACCCUGAUCCAGCCAUGCCGCGUGCGGGAAGAAGGCCUUCGGGUUGUAAACCGCUUUUGGUCGGGAAGAAAAGGCAUCCCCUAAUACGGGGUGCUGUUGACGGUACCGGCAGAAUAAGCACCGGCUAACUACGUGCCAGCAGCCGCGGUAAUACGUAGGGUGCGAGCGUUAAUCGGAAUUACUGGGCGUAAAGCGUGCGCAGGCGGUGAGUUAAGUCUGAUGUGAAAGCCCCGGGCUCAACCUGGGAAUGGCAUUGGAAACUGGCUCGCUGGAGUGUGGCAGAGGGGGGUGGAAUUCCGCGUGUAGCAGUGAAAUGCGUAGAGAUGCGGAGGAACACCGAUGGCGAAGGCAGCCCCCUGGGCCAACACUGACGCUCAGGCACGAAAGCGUGGGGAGAAACAGGAUUAGAUACCCUAGUAGUCC